CUCAGGACGAACGCUGGCGGCGCGCCUAACACAUGCAAGUCGAGCGAGAAGGAUAACUUCGGUUAUCUGGAAAGCGGCGGACGGGUGAGUAACGCGUGGGAAACCUGCCCUAUACAGGGGGAUAGCUACUGGAAACGGUAAUUAAUACCCCAUGAAACUCUAGUAUCGCAUGAUACAUGAGUCAAAACUUUAGUGGUAUAGGAUGGUCCCGCGUCCCAUUAGCUAGUUGGUAAGGUAAAAGCUUACCAAGGCGACGAUGGGUAGCCGGCCUGAGAGGGUGAACGGCCACACUGGAACUGAGACACGGUCCAGACUCCUACGGGAGGCAGCAGUGGGGAAUAUUGCACAAUGGGGGAAACCCUGAUGCAGCGACGUCGUGUGAGCGAUGAAGGCUUUCGAGUCGUAAAGCUCUGUCCUAAGGGAAGAAGAAGUGACGGUACCUUAGGAGGAAGCCCCGGCUAACUACGUGCCAGCAGCCGCGGUAAUACGUAGGGGGCGAGCGUUGUCCGGAAUUACUGGGCAUAAAGGGUGAGUAGGCGGCCUAGCAAGUCAGGUGUUAAAUCCUUCGGCUCAACCGAAGUAAGCACUUGAAACUGUUAGGCUUGAGUGCAGGAGAGGAGAGUGGAAUUCCUAGUGUAGCGGUGAAAUGCGUAGAUAUUAGGAAGAACACCAGUGGCGAAGGCGACUCUCUGGACUGCAACUGACGCUGAGGCACGAAAGCGUGGGUAGCGAACAGGAUUAGAUACCCUGGUAGUCCACGCCGUAAACGAUGAGUGCUAGGUGUUGGAGGGUACAACCUUCAGUGCCGGAGUUAACACAUUAAGCACUCCGCCUGGGGAGUACGAUCGCAAGAUUGAAACUCAAAGGAAUUGACGGGGGCCCGCACAAGCAGCGGAGCAUGUGGUUUAAUUCGAAGCAACGCGAAGAACCUUACCAAGACUUGACAUCCCUCUGAUAGUCCUAGAGAUAGGACGUUUCUUCGGAACAGAGGUGACAGGUGGUGCAUGGUUGUCGUCAGCUCGUGUCGUGAGAUGUUGGGUUAAGUCCCGCAACGAGCGCAACCCUUGCCUUUAGUUGCCAUCAGAUAAGCUGGGCACUCUAGAGGGACUGCCGGUGACAAACCGGAGGAAGGUGGGGAUGACGUCAAAUCAUCAUGCCCCUUAUGUCUUGGGCUACACACGUGCUACAAUGGUCGGUACAACGGGUAGCCAACCCGCGAGGGGGAGCCAAUCCCAAUAAGCCGAUCCCAGUUCGGAUUGUAGGCUGCAAUUCGCCUACAUGAAGUUGGAGUUGCUAGUAAUCGCGGAUCAGAAUGUCGCGGUGAAUGCGUUCCCGGGCCUUGUACACACCGCCCGUCACACCAUGAGAGUUGGUAACACCCGAAGCCAUCGGGCUAACAUAUGAGGCAGAUGUCGAAGGUGGGACCAAUGAUUAGGGUGAAGUC
rnacentral:rRNA from 1 species